UGGGGAAUAUUGGACAAUGGGCGAAAGCCUGAUCCAGCCAUGCCGCGUGUGUGAAGAAGGUCUUCGGAUUGUAAAGCACUUUAAGUUGGGAGGAAGGGCAUUAACCUAAUACGUUAGUGUUUUGACGUUACCGACAGAAUAAGCACCGGCUAACUCUGUGCCAGCAGCCGCGGUAAUACAGAGGGUGCAAGCGUUAACCGGAAUUACUGGGCGUAAAGCGCGCGUAGGUGGUUUGUUAAGUUGGAUGUGAAAUCACCGGGCUCAACCUGGGAACUGCAUUCAAAACUGACUGACUAGAGUAUGGUAGAGGGUGGUGGAAUUUCCUGUGUAGCGGUGAAAUGCGUAGAUAUAGGAAGGAACACCAGUGGCGAAGGCGACCACCUGGACUAAUACUGACACUGAGGUGCGAAAGCGUGGGGAGCAAACA
rnacentral:rRNA from 1 species